rnacentral:misc_RNA from 1 species
AAACUCUUCCCCGCCAAAACGGGAGGCAACGUCUCCUGCUCGUAACGCUUCCUUGAUAACGCGUCCAGUUUCUUCGAGAGUCUUGCUGCCAACCAGGUGACCAUAAGUAUCGUUCACCUCUUUAAAGUGAUCCAGGUCCAUCAUGAGGACGCAAAAAGGGCGCGACUCAGCCUCUGCCCGCGCCGCUUCUCGUCGCAACUCCGAGAAGAAUGACUUGCUUGUAAGCAGUCCGGUAAGUUCGUCGUGCGCGAUCAGCCGGUGGAUCUGCUGCUGAAAUUCACGAUCGAUUUCGUCCA